UGUUGGUUUCAGGUGUGCAGAGCGUGAUGGUGGAAGCCGCGCAGCUCAAGGUGACGGUGACGGGCACCAUGGACGUCGCCACGCUCGUCCAGAGGCUGCACAAGUCCGGCAAGAACGGGAUUGAAUCGAUGGGAGCAUUGAGGCAUCAAAUUAUGGAGCACCGUGCUUCUACAACCAGUCAACCUGAGUUCAGCUCUGGGAAUCGACGGAUCGCUGAUGCUGCUGCACAAGAACAGGUAGGUCAAGAUCCCCUUUCUAUGGGUUCCAAGUUCUAGGUAUUUAAUCUAGGAUUUACUAUGAUUUUUUUUCUCUGUCCAUGGAAUUCCCAUGCUUCUGAGGACUACGACGGCUCUCCCUAGGCAUCGAUUUGAACAAGGAUGCAUCGCUCGUGCUUAUUGGGGAUAGGAUGCGAUGCAGGCUUCUCUGUGAUUUCUUUUUCGUGGUGGAUGCAUCUUUCAUUCGAUUGGAAAGUUGUGAUUAGAUCCUCUUUUCCACUGUAGAUCAUCUGCUAGAUCUCUCUUCAAGCACACAAUACAAGUUGCAUAAUCGAUCUGUGAUCACAGAGGCCAGGCCUGGCAACGGCGGCAAGGUGCAGCAAGGGCCGUGUUCUGCACGGCAG